UACGAAGGGGGCUAGCGUUGCUCGGAAUUACUGGGCGUAAAGGGCGCGUAGGCGGAUAUUUAAGUUGGGGGUGAAAUCCCGGGGCUCAACCUCGGAAUUGCCUUCAAAACUGGAUAUCUUGAGUUCGGGAGAGGUGAGUGGAACUCCGAGUGUAGAGGUGAAAUUCGUAGAUAUUCGGAAGAACACCAGUGGCGAAGGCGACUCACUGGCCCGAUACUGACACUGAUGCACGAAAGCGUGGGGAUCAAACAGG
rnacentral:rRNA from 1 species